UAAGAAGUGCGUCUUCGUGCCCUUAUUUUAUUCUUGCAGGCGUAGAAUUUGUGGCCGCGAGUGAGAGCUCCACUCCAUGCUCCGGUGGGAUCCAAGUGUUUUGGGUAAAGGUUGCCCUUCAGGCGACAAAAACUUUUGGUGAAUUGAGCAUACCUAUGAGUUUCGUGCAAUUUAUGCAGUCGCUGCCUCAAGCUUGUUGCCUCCCUUUGCCAGAACUCUGAAGAAAUUAUUGUCAGCUCGGAUUUCAUAUCUGAUGGAUUAUUGAUUCAGUUUAUUAACAGUGCAUCUGUUAAUUGUGACAAGGUCUUGUAUUUUGGAGAGACAAAUGUUGUGGAAGUAUUAUCUUUUAAACUCAUCAUACUUUUAUAUAUUCUCA